rnacentral:rRNA from 1 species
ACUCCUACGGGAGGCAGCAGUGGGGAAUCUUAGACAAUGGGCGCAAGCCUGAUCUGGCCAUGCCGCGUGAGCGAUGAAGGCCUUAGGGUUGUAAAGCUCUUUCAGGGGGGAAGAUAAUGACUGUACCCCCAGAAGAAGCCCCGGCUAACUCCGUGCCAGCAGCCGCGGUAAU